ACUGCAGGUAACCUUUCUGCUUGUUUACUUUAGUGUUGACGUUGACAGGCGAUAUUAGUUAAAUACGAUUCUUAGAUUAAGAUCUAAAUAUUUGAUGAAUACUGUAAAACAUGUUAGAGUUCAAUAUUUUUUGAGAUUGGGAAUAUAACCUUUGGAAUAUAUAUUUUGAACAUAAACAUGAUUUAUGAUGAUGAUGAUGAGUAUUAUUAUUUAUCUAAUAAAUUUCAACAUGUUUCUAUUGACGGAAAUCCUAAAAAUACAUUGAUUGAUUCUAAGACUCGUUAUCCUGAGUAUUUAAGAAAUCAAAAUGUUACAUCAGCCCGUAAAAGAAAAUCAAAGAAAACUUGUAAAACGCAGGAAGUAAUCACUAGCUCAGGUAGCACCAGUGAAAGCAGGAGGAGGAGUAAUAAAAAACCUCUAAAGGAACGUUCAAGGAAUGUCGGUUAUGUUCAGGAAAGUUGUGAAACCACUGAUGAACACAUUCAUGAAAUGAAAACUGUGAGUAUUUUUCCAACAGAAAAAGAUUUGUUCGGUACUCCUGAAUUGGAAAAGAAUAUUGUGGAAGGUGCAUAUAGAAAUGUGGACCAUUACUUGGCAGUACAAUUUAGACUUCUUCGAGAGGAUUUUAUGGGUUCACUUCGAAAAGGAAUUAUAGACUAUCGAAGACAUAAUUCUUCCAAUGACGAUCCAGAAGUUUCCUUCUAUACUCAAGUACAAGUAACAGGAUCUUCUUUUAUUGGUGGUGGGAAAUUUGGCCACAAGAUAAAAUUUAAUAACAAUGUCAAUUGGGCUGAUUUGUCAAAGGACUGCAAAUUUGGCUCCCUCCUUCUGUUUACAACAAAUAGAUUUGAAACCUUUUUCUCAGGAACAGUGAUUGACAUGGACAAUGUCAACAGCACAAUAAUGGUAAAAUUCAAUAGCAAGUCUGAUACAGUCAAUGUCUGUGCUUGGCAGUUCACUGUAGCAUUCCCAAAAGUGUAUUUUGAACCUUAUUUCCAUGUAUUGAAUGGACUUCAAAAAAUGGCACAUGAAAGAUUUCCCAUGGAAAAAUACAUUAUAAAAGUCAAUUCCAGACCAAAUCCACCAGCUUAUAUCAGGGGAUUCGGUCCUAGAACCUACAAAAUAAAUGGAAAUCAUUAUGUCAAUGUCUUAAGUACUACUUCGUGGCCACAUCUUGAAUCACUGAAAUUAAAUCCCUCUCAGCAUCGUGCCUUCCAAGCGGCCCUGACCAACGAGUUUGUAGCAAUACAAGGACCCCCUGGGACAGGGAAGACUUUUCUUGCCAAACAAAUAGUUGCCACACUUCUGGAUAAUGUGGAAAUGGAUACACCUAUUCUAGUCGUUUGUUACAAGAACCAGGCCUUGGACCAAUUUCUGGAGGGAAUUCUAGAGAAGACCAAGAAUAUCAUCAGAAUUGGCAGCAAAAGCCAGAGUGAGGUAUUGGAAAAUUUUAAUAUAAAGAAUCACCGUCCAAAGAACUAUGGUUAUAAUACAUAUGCAAAACCUAUGGAGAGAUUAGCUGCUGAGUACUCAGCCAAACAGAAACUGUUAAAUGAAACCAUCUCUCAAGGCGUUAGAGAAGAGAUGAGGAAAAUUGAAAGGGAUAUUCAAGUUCUAGAACAGAAAUUGGAUGAUGCCAGAAACUCAGCUGAUAUAAGUGUUAUGAAAAAAGCCAAGGUUGUAGGAAUGACUACUUCAGGAGCGGCCAGACUUAGGCCUUGGUUUGAACCAGCUUGGAGCAAAGAUCGUGGUGAUUGAAGAAGCAGCGGAAGUGUUAGAGUCACACGUCGUAACAGCACUCAGCAGCCAGUGUCAGCAUGUCAUACUCUUGGGUGACCACAAACAGCUGAGGCCUAGCACUGAAGUAUAUGAACUAUGUCAAAAAUACAACUUAAACA
rnacentral:misc_RNA from 1 species